rnacentral:tRNA from 1 species
AUGGCUCAGCGGUUAAGAGCACUGACUGCUCUUCCAGAGGACCUGGGUUCAAUUCCCAGU